rnacentral:rRNA from 2 species
AAACCAAAGUAGGGGAUUUAACCUUACGCUUUUGGAUGAACCCAGAUGAGAUUAGCUUGUUGGUGAGGUAAAGGCUCACCAAGGCAACGAUCUCUAGCUGGUCUGAGAGGAUGGUCAGCCACACUGGAACUGAGACACGGUCCAGACUCCUACGGGAGGCAGCAGUGGGGAAUAUUGCACAAUGGGCGAAAGCCUGAUGCAGCUAUGCCGCGUGUAUGAAGAAGGCCUUAGGGUUGUAAAGUACUUUCAAUAGAGAAGAAAAAGUCUAAUAAUUUUAAUUCUUGACGUUACCUAUAAAAGAAGCACCGGCUAACUCCGUGCCAGCAGCCGCGGUAAUACGGAGGGUGCAAGCGUUAAUCAGAAUUACUGGGCGUAAAGAGCUCGUAGGCGGUUAUUUAAGUCAGAUGUGAAAUCCCUAAGCUCAACUUAGGAACAGCAUUUGAAACUGAUUAACUAGAGUAUCGUAGAGGGAGGUAGAAUUCUAGGUGUAGCGGUGAAAUGCGUAGAUAUCUGGAGGAAUACCUGUGGCGAAAGCGGCCUCCUAAACGAAUACUGACGCUGAGGUGCGAAAGCAUGGGGAGCAAACAGGAUUAGAUACCCUGGUAGUCCAUGCCGUAAACGAUGUCGACUUGGAGGUUGUUCCUUGAGGAGUGGCUUCCGAAGCUAACGCGUUAAGUCGACCGCCUGGGGAGUACGGUCGCAAGGCUAAAACUCAAAUGAAUUGACGGGGGCCCGCACAAGCGGUGGAGCAUGUGGUUUAAUUCGAUGCAACGCGAAAAACCUUACCUGGUCUUGACAUCCAUAGAAUUAUAUAGAAAUAUAUAAGUGCCCUAGGGAACUAUGAGACAGGUGCUGCAUGGCUGUCGUCAGCUCGUGUUGUGAAAUGUUGGGUUAAGUCCCGCAACGAGCGCAACCCUUGUUCUUUGUUGCCAACAGCUAGGCUGGGAACUCAGAGAAGACUGCCGGUUAUAAACCGGAGGAAGGUGGGGACGACGUCAAGUCAUCAUGGCCCUUACGACCAGGGCUACACACGUGCUACAAUGGCGUAUACAAAGAGAAGCAAAUCUGCGAAGACAAGCAAACCUCAUAAAGUACGUCGUAGUCCGGACUGGAGUCUGCAACUCGACUCCACGAAGUAGGAAUCUAUAGUAAUCGUGGAUCAGAAUGCCGCGGUGAAUACGUUCCCGGGCCUUGUACACACCGCCCGUCACACCAUGGGAGUGAGUGCAAAAGAAGCAGGUUAGC